rnacentral:rRNA from 1 species
UGGGGAAUAUUGGACAAUGGGCGAAAGCCUGAUCCAGCCAUGCCGCGUGUGUGAAGAAGGUCUUCGGAUUGUAAAGCACUUUAAGUUGGGAGGAAGGGCAGUAAGCGAAUACCUUGCUGUUUUGACGUUACCGACAGAAUAAGCACCGGCUAACUCUGUGCCAGCAGCCGCGGUAAUACAGAGGGUGCAAGCGUUAAACGGAAUUACUGGGCGUAAAGCGCGCGUAGGUGGUUCGUUAAGUUGAAUGUGAAAGCCCCGGGCUCAACCUGGGAACUGCAUCCAAAACUGGCGAGCUAGAGUAGGGCAGAGGGUGGUGGAAUUUCCUGUGUAGCGGUGAAAUGCGUAGAUAUAGGAAGGAACACCAGUGGCGAAGGCGACCACCUGGGCUCAUACUGACACUGAGGUGCGAAAGCGUGGGGAGCAAACAGG